CUUCAUUUAUCAUACACUCCAUUUGAAAUCUACGAUGGAAACGUACAAAACAACGUGUUCUCAAAGUAGGGUUCGAGGGUUAAUAACUGUCAACACUGUCACACUGCCGGGGGCGUAAAUAUACUAUAAAUCCGUCCGAAUGGACUAUUUGUACGCAACAGUACUAAUACCGGGUAUAGUUAUAGCAUAUAUACAAUAAAAUGCAAAACUGACCUCGUUCUGCGCAUGCUCCAACGUUUAUGAGAGACGAUAGAUUGGCGAUACGACUCAUUGACCACAUUGUUGACAAUUGUUGAUCUGAAUCUGAACUGUAUAUAUAAAUAAUGUUUAUUUACAGAAAAAGGCUAUCGACCCAAUCGGUCUUUCUGCCCUCUGAAGUAUUAAACAUGUUUAGUAGGUUCAAAAUUCAAGUACAAUAUGAAAUCUGAAAGGACGAAGUUUUAAUGUUCUCUGUGCGACCAAACUGAUUCAACUGUGUCUGGUAGAAGUGGCCAUAUCAUAAAUUGUCACCCAGAUGCAAAGCAACAAAUAAACAACCAUUCCAUGUUGUUCCAUUGAAGUUGCAACCAACAUCUUAAUAAUGUUCAUGUCUUAUUUACUAAAUAAUUGCUGUGAGGACCUUGUAUCUAUGUAACGUAUGUCCUACGAAUGUAACAGAACUUCAUUUUCUUCCAGAAAUUUUUAGUGCUUUUCUUAUUAUUUAGGUUUUGUUAUGACAUGUAGAAUGCGGGUCGCAUGUUGUAUUUGGCCAUGUACACAAUAAACCUUUUUAAAUAGGA
rnacentral:lncRNA from 1 species